GAGGUGCAGAAUGGGUGAGGGAGUCAGCUGGUGCUCAGGUCCAAAAUGGGUGUGGGAGCCAGCUAAUGCUCAGAAUGAAGUCCAGCUCCUGGAGUUGUGCUGUAGGAGAUAGAGUGUCAGCAACUGUAAUGUUGAUACCGUUCCUGAAGUCCGACGGAGAAGGUCCUGUUCCAGGCGGUGAAGUCUUCAUCCAAGCGCGAUCUCUUCUUCCAGGAACAUCCUGUGCGGAGCGGAGCUGAAGACCGAUGACCGUGGAGCUGAAGACCGGCGACCCUGGAACUAAAGACUGGCGACCCUGGAACUGAAGACCGGCGACCACGGAGCCAUGGAGCAUGGAGUAUCCUCUUCGUCCACCGUAGACUGAAUAGUGAAUUCAAGGUACGCGAUUAAAGAUGGCGUCCCUUGAAUUCCUAUUGGCUGCUAAACCAAAAAUGGGCCGGCUCCUAAGCUUACAUUCUUGCUUUUCAAAUAAAAAUACCAAGAGAACCAGGAACAUUUGAUAAUAGGAGUAAAUUAAGAAGUUGCUUAAAAUUGCCUGCUCUAUCUGAAUCACGAAAGAAAAAAAUUGGGUUUAGUGUCCCUUUAAGAAAACUUGAUGAUAGAAGUGAAUUGGAAAAUGUUGUGCUCUAUCUGAAUAAUUAAAGAAAAUGAUGUCCCUUU